rnacentral:rRNA from 1 species
AACGGAGUAGCAAUACUUAGUGGCAGACGGGUGAGUAACAUGUAGGUAUCUGCCCUUUGGCCUGGAAUAACACGAGGAAACUUCGUGCUAAUACCGGAUAAGUCUUUACGGAGAAAGCUUUAUGCACCAUUGGAUGAGCCUGCACUUGAUUAGUUUGUUGGUGGGGUAAUGGCCUACCAAGACUGUGAUCAAUAGCUGAUUUGAGAGGAUGAUCAGCCACAUUGGGACUGAGACACGGCCCAAACUCCUACGGGAGGCAGCAGUGGGGAAUCUUGCACAAUGGAGGAAACUCUGAUGCAGCGAUGCCGCGUGAGUGAAGAAGGCCCUUGGGUUGUAAAGCUCUUUCGUCGGGGAAGAAAAUGACUGUACCCGAAUAAGAAGGUCCGGCUAACUUCGUGCCAGCAGCCGCGGUAAUACGAAGGGACCUAGCGUAGUUCGGAAUUACUGGGCUUAAAGAGUUCGUAGGUGGUUGAAAAAGUUAGUGGUGAAAUCCCAGAGCUUAACUCUGGAACUGCCAUUAAAACUUUUCAGCUAGAGUAUGAUAGAGGAAAGCAGAAUUUCUAGUGUAGAGGUGAAAUUCGUAGAUAUUAGAAAGAAUACCAAUUGCGAAGGCAGCUUUCUGGAUCAUUACUGACACUGAGGAACGAAAGCAUGGGUAGCGAAGAGGAAUAGAUACCCUCGUAGUCCAUGCCGUAAACGAUGUGUGUUAGACGUUGGAAAUUUAUUUUCAGUGUCCGCAAGGGAAACCGAUAAACACAACCGCCUGGGGAGUACGACCGCAAGGUUAAAACUCAAAUGAAUUGACGGGACCCGCACAAGUAGUGGAGCAUGGUGUUUAAUUCGAAGAUACGCGCAGAACUUUACAACACUUGACAUGUUCGUCGCGACUC